GACGUAGGAUGCGAGCGUUUAUUCGGAUUUAUUGGGCGUAAAGCGUGCGUAGGCGGCUAUUUAAGUCUGGUGUUAAAGCUAGGGGCUCAACCCCUGUGAUGCACUGGAUACUGGGUAGCUUGAGUGCGGUAGGGGAAGGUGGAAUUCCGAGUGUAGCGGUGAAAUGCGUAGAUAUUCGGAAGAACACCGGUGGCGAAGGCGACCUUCUGGGCCGCAACUGACGCGUGAGGCACGAAAGCCUGGGGAGCGAAUGGG
rnacentral:rRNA from 1 species